rnacentral:lncRNA from 1 species
UCUCAAAGAACACAAAAUUUUAUUAUAAAGCGUACAACAUGGUAAUAAUGAACAACGACAAUUCUUGACGAUUAUAUAGAUUCUUCUCCGUAAGGUACUUUUGGUUUAUGGACCUCUUCCUCUACGCGAUUUAGAGGGCGGCAGAUACAUAGGAGCGGUAGGAGGGAGAGGGGACUCUAGAAGCCGUUCUUGACCUGCCAAUUAGCAAAACAUAUACAUCACAUAUAUACGCAGAAAUUAUAAUGACCACAAGUUAAAAGUACAGAAGCAAGAGGCAAGAGCUUGGAUAUGUAAACUAACGUAGGUGGCGUUUGGCCUCGGCUACUUUAACUUGAAAGGAGAUCAAUAAGAUCAGAAGAAGCAAAGAGAGAACAUAACCAACUAUAUGUGGUGUCUCGGUGGUAGCCAUUGAUUAAGAUAAACACUCGACUCUCUAUCAAUUCCGUUUAUAACAAGACAAGCUCAUGCUAUAUAAUCUUUCUUUUUUUCAAAAAGUUCAUGUGAAAGUAUGAAAAAGAGACAUCGUUGAAAUUGUAGUACUCACCUACUACAAUUAUUGUUUUUUUUAAAAAAAUUCUACAGACCUCUUGAUAGUUGACUAAUUACUUCU